UAACUAUUAUCACAAGGUAAUACUGAACAUACAGAAGUCGGCAGAGGUCAUAUUAGCCGAGAGGUGAAGGAU
rnacentral:ncRNA from 1 species